GAUGAACGCUGGCGGCGUGCCUAAUACAUGCAAGUCGAGCGAACGGACGAGAAGCUUGCUUCUCUGAUGUUAGCGGCGGACGGGUGAGUAACACGUGGAUAACCUACCUAUAAGACUGGGAUAACUUCGGGAAACCGGAGCUAAUACCGGAUAAUAUUUUGAACCGCAUGGUUCAAAAGUGAAAGACGGUCUUGCUGUCACUUAUAGAUGGAUCCGCGCUGCAUUAGCUAGUUGGUAAGGUAACGGCUUACCAAGGCAACGAUGAAUAGCCGACCUGAGAGGGUGAUCGGCCACACUGGAACUGAGACACGGUCCAGACUCCUACGGGAGGCAGCAGUAGGGAAUCUUCCGCAAAGGGCGAAAGCCUGACGGAGCAACGCCGCGUGAGUGAUGAAGGUCUUCGGAUCGUAAAACUCUGUUAUUAGGGAAGAACAUAUGUGUAAGUAACUGUGCACAUCUUGACGGUACCUAAUCAGAAAGCCACGGCUAACUACGUG
rnacentral:rRNA from 1 species